rnacentral:rRNA from 1 species
AACACAUGCAAGUCGAGGGGCAGCGGGGUUGUAGCAAUACAACUGCCGGCGACCGGCGCACGGGUGAGUAACACGUAUGUAACCUGCCCUCUGCAGGGGGAUAAGCGGAAGAAAUUCCGUCUAAUACCGCAUAAUACAAUUUAGGAGACAUCUCCGAGGUUGUCAAAGGAGUGAUCCGGCAGAGGAUGGACAUGCGGCGCAUUAGCUAGUCGGCGGGGUAACGGCCCACCGAGGCUACGAUGCGUAGGGGUUCUGAGAGGAAGGUCCCCCACACUGGUACUGAGACACGGACCAGACUCCUACGGGAGGCAGCAGUGAGGAAUAUUGGUCAAUGGGCGGAAGCCUGAACCAGCCAAGUCGCGUGAGGGAAGACGGUCCUAUGGAUUGUAAACCUCUUUUGCAGGGGAGCAAGGCGCGGUACGUGUACCGCGAAGGAGAGUACCCUGAGAAAAAGCAUCGGCUAACUCCGUGCCAGCAGCCGCGGUAAUACGGAGGAUGCGAGCGUUAUCCGGAUUUAUUGGGUUUAAAGGGUGCGCAGGCGGACUGUUAAGUCAGCGGUAAAAUCGUCGGUGCUCAACACCGGCCGGCCGUUGAAACUGGCAGCCUUGAGUGAGCGAGAAGUAUGCGGAAUGCGUGGUGUAGCGGUGAAAUGCAUAGAUAUCACGCAGAACUCCGAUUGCGAAGGCAGCAUACCGGCGCUCAACUGACGCUCAGGCACGAAAGCGUGGGUAUCUAACAAGGGUAGAUACCCUGGUAGUCCACGCAGUAAACGAUGAAUGCUCACUGUCCGGGCCGUUUAAGGCUUGGGUGGUCAAGGGAAAGCGUUAAGCAUUCCACCUGGGGAGUACGCCGGCAACGGUGAAACUCAAAGGAAUUGACGGGGGCCCGCAUAAGCGGAGGAACAUGUGGUUUAAUUUGAUGAUACGCGAGGAACCUUACCCGGGCUCAAACGGAAGGGGACAGUAUGAGAAAUCAUACAUUCCUUCGGGACCGCUUCCGAGGUGCUGCAUGGUUGUCGUCAGCUCGUGCCGUGAGGUGUCGGCUUAAGUGCCAUAACGAGCGCAACCCCUAUCGACAGUUGCUAGCAGGUAAAGCUGAGGACUCUGUCGAGACUGCCGGCGCAAGCUGUGAGGAAGGCGGGGAUGACGUCAAAUCAGCACGGCCCUUACGUCCGGGGCGACACACGUGUUACAAUGGCAGGUACAGCGGGAAGCCACCCGGCGACGGGGCGCAGAACCCGAAAACCUGUCUCAGUUCGGAUUGGAGUCUGCAACCCGACUCCAUGAAGCUGGAUUCGCUAGUAAU